GUAGUCUCGCACAGAUGCAUAUCAAUAAGCGGAGGAAAAGAAACUAACAAGGAUUCCCCUAGUAACGGCGAGUGAAGCGGGAAGAGCACAAAUUUGAAAUCUUAAAGGGUUUCCCUUUACGAAUUGUAGUUUAAAGAAGUGUUUUCUGUUGAGGUUUUGGUAAAAGUUCUUUGGAAUAGGACAUCAUAGAGGGUGAGAAUCCCGUAUUUGACCUUUACUUCCAACUUUGUGAUACACUUUCAAAGAGUCGGAUUGUUUGGGAAUGCAGUCCAAAAUGGGUGGUAAAUUUCAUCUAAAGCUAAAUAUUGGCGAGAGACCGAUAGCGAACAAGUACCGUGAGGGAAAGAUGAAAAGAACUUUGAAAAGAGAGUUAAACAGUACGUGAAAUUGUCAAAAGGGAAGCGUUUGACACCAGUGUUGUUUUUCUGAAAAUCAAUUAAAGAACUGUUUAUGCUAAGUUGUUUAGACUUUAUCAGCUAUCUGUUUAGUUUUGAGCUUUUCUUUAAUGCACUUUUCAGUUAACAAGUCAACAUCAAUUUCUUUUGCUGUAAAAAAGCUUGAGGAAGGUGGCUUGAGAUUCGUCUUAAGUGUUUAUAGCCUCUUGCCUAUGCAGUCGGAGAGAUUGAGGUCUGCAGCGUAGAUCCUUCGGGGCUAAAUGCAUUUGUGCUAAGUUAUAGCAUUUUAUAGACAACUUGUUGACUAUGAUUUGUCUUGUAGCUUACUCGCUUAUGUUAUUUUACCUACGCUUAGGAUGUUGACAGCAGUAUAGACUGU
rnacentral:rRNA from 1 species